AAGAUUAAACUGAAGAGUUUGAUCAUGGCUCAGAUUGAACGCUGGCGGCAGGCUUAACACAUGCAAGUCGAGCGGAAACGAUGGGAGCUUGCUCCCAGGCGUCGAGCGGCGGACGGGUGAGUAACGCGUAGGAAUCUACCCAGUAGUGGGGGAUAGCCCGGGGAAACUCGGAUUAAUACCGCAUACGCCC
rnacentral:rRNA from 1 species